CAAGUCGAACGGACCCUUUCGGGGUUAGUGGCGAACGGGUGAGUAACACGUGGGUGAUCUGCCCUGCACUUUGGGAUAAGCCUGGGAAACUGGGUCUAAUACCGGAUAGGACUACGCACUGCAUGGUGUGUGGUGGAAAGCUUUUGCGGUGUGGGAUGGGCCCGCGGCCUAUCAGCUUGUUGGUGGGGUGAUGGCCUACCAAGGCGACGACGGGUAGCCGGCCUGAGAGGGUGACCGGCCACACUGGGACUGAGAUACGGCCCAGACUCCUACGGGAGGCAGCAGUGGGGAAUAUUGCACAAUGGGCGCAAGCCUGAUGCAGCGACGCCGCGUGAGGGAUGACGGCCUUCGGGUUGUAAACCUCUUUCGCCAGGGACGAAGCGCAAGUGACGGUACCUGGAGAAGAAGGACCGGCCAACUACGUGCCAGCAGCCGCGGUAAUACGUAGGGUCCGAGCGUUGUCCGGAAUUACUGGGCGUAAAGAGCUCGUAGGUGGUUUGUCGCGUUGUUCGUGAAAACUCACAGCUUAACUGUGGGCGUGCGGGCGAUACGGGCAGACUGGAGUACUGCAGGGGAGACUGGAAUUCCUGGUGUAGCGGUGGAAUGCGCAGAUAUCAGGAGGAACACCGGUGGCGAAGGCGGGUCUCUGGGCAGUAACUGACGCUGAGGAGCGAAAGCGUGGGGAGCGAACAGGAUUAGAUACCCUGGUAGUCCACGCCGUAAACGGUGGGUACUAGGUGUGGGUUUCCUUCCUUGGGAUCCGUGCCGUAGCUAACGCAUUAAGUACCCCGCCUGGCGAGUACGGCCGCAAGGCUAAAACUCAAA
rnacentral:rRNA from 1 species